rnacentral:misc_RNA from 1 species
UGCAUUCAUCGCUCGGCGUAGUAGUACCAGCACGCGUACGACCUCGGCGAGGCGCUACGUUCUCUCUCUCUACGAUAUUGUGUACAUAUACUAUACGAUUGUGUGUAUGUGUAGUGUAUAUACAUGCAGCAACGCAUACUCGCGCGUAGACGCGAUACUACAGCAGCGUAUAUACGCAAAUCCAUUCCGCCGUCGAUGUAAACAACAAUUUUUUGUGUACGCUAUCUGCCGUUGCGGAGUGCGACUUCUAGGUGACGCCAACCGACUCCGAUUCAAAACUCGUUCCAUUUUCACCAGUGUUUCGCGUUUUUCUGACUCCGACCGGUGUUCGUGCAGCGUUCGAUCGACAGUGUUUUCGACCCUUCGUUAAUGAACGGAUGAACUUCAGCUUGGCGUCGCUUCAUAACCCCCGCACCGUUGCAUAUCAACAAACGGCCUAGUGAGUUUACGUUCCGCGGGGUGAAGCUCGUUUUUCACGAUUGAAAGUUCAAUGAAAAUCUCGUGAUCAUCAUCGACUCAGUGAGACAAAGUUAUGAAUGCCGAGGCUCCGUACGGAACCGCGACGCAGAUAGGACAUUUCCAAGGGAUUGUCGAUCCAAAGAGGCGGAGAUGUAAAGAGCGUCGCGACGACUAUGGAUGCUACUACUGGUUCAAGUUUCGAAGAUAAGAAUCACAAUGACGAGCAGUCGCAGCAGCCCAGUAGUCAGGAGCAAUCAUGCCAGACAAACUCCAUAACCAGCACUUGGCACCUUGUCAACACUGCGACUGCAGCUGGCACGGGUAGCAUAGCUGCAACCGUUGGCCAAGUCAAGUUUCAAACCAGGGCCACGAGCAGCAGCCAAUUGCUCUCCUCUCAAGUUAUGGAGUAUUAUCAGAAGUACUCGCAGAAUUCAAAUUUGAAUCAGUAUUUUUCCUUGUCUGGUAGUACUUACAGUAAUGGCACAGGAGCCACCAAGUAUUACUACAAUUUUUACGAUUUAAAUCCCAAGUACCUACCUGGGAAACAAAGCUGUAUUGAAUCUGAUCACAGAGUUCAAGGAUUCAAUCCCAAGGAAAGAAGACGCUGGGUGAGACCACCAUUGGAUGGUCAAUCUUCUACAGAAAAUCCUUGUGCUCUUAUUAAGUCGAUGCCGAUAUGGCCUGAAGCGACGCUUAACGCAGCUAGCCAAGCUGUGAUAAGUGUGGACACUCUCGACAACGUGGAAAGAGACAAGGAUCAUCCCGCCCCGAAAGUCAACAGUAGCAGCGGCGGCGACUGCAAGGGCAAGUCCGAGCUCGUUUCCGACUCCUCGUCGAACGUCAUUUUGACGAGCAUCGAGUCCGACGCGACGAAGGCACCCUCGCCCACGUCCAGCGUAGCCUCGCAGAAACCGCCCCUCGAAUGGGACAGCGGGGCGGACGUCGGUUACGCCACGGAUCUUCAACUGCACCGUCAUCGCAUCAACAUUAGCACCCUCGAGCGCAUGGCGCUCGAACGCGGCUGCUCGGCUGCCCUGAGGCUCGACCCCGAGGGCACGACUGAACAAUUCCAACAGCAACAACAACAACAACCACCGACUACAUCUACACCACUUCCGAAACAACAACAACAACCGCAACAACCACUGCAACAGCAGCAGCAGCAACAACAGCAACAACAACAGCAGCAGCAACAACAAUAUCAAUCAAGUAACAAUUCAGAAUCUCAGGCUACUGUUACAGGAACUAGUAUGGGCAUAACGCGGGGCAACGGUAUGAUGAUCGGUAUGAAACCGGACGCUAGCUCGACACCUAUGCUAACUACUAAAUCGAGUAGCGAGAGCGAAAUCGAAAUAACACCGAUAGUAAAAACUUUGAACUUUCCUGCUCCGACCAUAACGGAAUUGAAAAAUAACGAGGAUGAAGCUAGUUUAAAUACGAGGAAAAACAUUGUUAAGGAACAAUUGAGACAACAAAUCGAUACUCCAAAAUCGACAAAUCCAGUAUUCAAACUUCCUCUGUCACUCAAGUACGUAGCCGACGACUCGAGUAUCAAAAGUUCUUGCCGAUCGGUCAAUAAAUCAUCAGCUCCAGCUUCGGUUUCCAUUCCAAUUUCUUCGUCGCUUAGUGAUAGGAAUUCACCCUUAAAAAAGAGUUCUUCUAUGAAUCAAUUGCCGCAAACUAAGGAAUCACUAAAGCGCAGCAACAGCGAUUUAAAUCUUUGCUCUGGCACGAGUAAUCCUUCGAAGUUUGUUUUCCAUUCAUCGUCGUCAAUAGCGACGGUUGUUAAUAAUAAACCCGCAAUGUGCAAUAAGCUAAUACAAACAAGUAUCAGGCCAUGCACUCAAGAGUCAAUUGGAGUUCAAGUAUCUGUACUCAAGGAAGAGGAAAAACCAGAUAUACCUCAAAGAGCAGCUAGCUUAGCUCACAGAUCUUUGAAUUCAAUUUUGAAGACUCCAAAGAGUACAUAUAAAGUUUUGAAUCCGAAAAAUUCCGGUUCAAGAGAACCAUCAACAUCCAAAGAGAACGAUUCCAAUGACAAUGAUAGCAGUUCUGAAUCUUCAAAUAAUAUUCGAAUGACUCCGUUAGCCGACGAUACUGAAAAUGUCACUGGACGAGCAAACAGUUUCGAGUACUUCCCGGGGCACGUUUAUGAAAAUGUUCCUAAUGGAAGCACUAGUCAAGUUUCAUCAGUUGACACGGGAAGAUCAAACUCGACGAUGCCCAACACAAGCUCGAGCAUUGAUGAAAAACUCUGGGGCGAUUCCGGUAGUCUUGUGCACGAUCUCGAGCGAAGUGUUCAAAUUCUCAAAACUCUUGUGGAUGCGAACAAAUUGGAUAAACAAGUGAAACGUCGUCUCAUUCAUCACGUAGUGAAGCGACUUGUCACAGCCAAGUAUACAGAUGAUAAAAUUGAGCAUGAUCUUGAAGCUAAUGUACCUUGGAAUCCUGCUGAUGCCAGAAAUAAAGUAUACAGAAAUGAUAUCAUUCAAGCUUUGGCGAAAAAUACUACCGACUCAUCGGACGACUGGAAACCAACUCAGUCUCAAAAGAAAAAAAAUCCUAAAAAGUCGCUAGCUGUCAAUGAGCCUAGAACUGUCAAAGAGAUUAUACCUAGAAUAGAAAGUAGUAAUAGUGAUAAAUUUGAUCGAAACACGGACAGAACAGUUAUGGAUGGUAGAAAAGCGCGCAUGGGGUUGAGAGUUGAUGAUUGCGAGAGACGCAGUGAUAGUAAUACACCGACGCAUAAAAGCGAAAGUUCUGAGUGUUUUCUACCUCAACGUAAUUAUAACAAAAAUGAAAAAUUAAAAGAUAUGUUCAUUAGUUCAACUAGCAACAGUUCACCGCAAGAUCCUAAUCGAGUUUUGCUUGAUGCUGUCGUAAAUAAUAGGCGAAGCCUAAUGGACUCAAGCAACGAGGGAGCUCAAAGUACUGAUUGGCGCUUACCGACUACCAUGUCAGAGCGACAAUAUGAAAUGCGAAGGAGCGCUUCGGAUUCUGGUGACAGUAAACUUGUGUCUUACGUCGAAAUGGAAAAGCGUAAUCAGCUCGAUUGGAUAACUAAUGAAAUUAGUCACUUAUCGAAACUGAAAAGGCUUUUAGAAGUACAUGACUCAAGAUACUACGCUCAGAACGACAAGUCUGUAUCGCAAAAAACAAAAGAAUCGACUUCAAAAAGUCCGAAAAAAGGAUUACCAAACGGUGAUGAUUCGCACAUGAGCAGACAAUGGUCUUCGCAUUGUAAUUUAGCUACUUAUCUAACAGGCAACCCAAGUACGGUCAAAAGAUUGAAAAAAAGAAAUAGUUGCACUCAAACGGAAACAGAUACUUCUGCAGCGUAUUCAAGAACAGGUAGUGAAAUCGUGUCAGCUAGACUAUCUGCUCCAUCAAAAGUCGUUAAUGCUAACACUCAGACGACGUCAUCUCUGGUAAAUUCACACUGUUCAGUUCAUAAACGAGUGGAAUCGCCAGCCUGUACAUGUAGCGAGCAAUAUUGUCUUGUUUGUAGAACACAAAGUUUGACAGAACAAACAAAUUUGUCAAGAGACGAAGCCAAAUAUACGUGCAAUAAAGUUAAUGAUCCAAAAGAAACGAAAAAUCAAAUGAACGCGACUAAAAUUAAGUGUACGUGCAAUCAUGCUGGUAAUGCUGGCCCAAGCAAUGAUUAUGUUGCCGAAAAAAUGAAAAAAUCUGCUUCGUGUACUCAGCAUUGUUGUGGUAAUUCUAUGUGCUCGGCCUCUCAAUAUAAACAAUCCACGAGUCCUAGUCCAAGAGAAUGUGAUUGCAGUGAAAAAGUUAGAUGCUCAUUUAAUAAAAUGCAAAUUAAUGAACAAGCAAUUGGAUCUUGUAAAAAAUUAACGGAAAAAACAAAUAGUCCAAGGUGUUCAACGUGUCAUUGCAAAAAACCAUUGGAAGAAACACCUUAUAAUCAAAAAAAUUAUAACUGUCAAGCUAAUAAAAAACCCACUCCGUACUUUCUAUUAAACUCCAAUAAAGAACACCAUCCGGAAAAUUGUUGUUGCAAAGCAACCAAACCAAAAGAGAGAACAAAAACAUACGCAAGUAAGAUUUGUCAGUCCGACGAAAAGCCCACGAUCGAUGAAUGGCUUAGCUACGAGCGACUACAAGUGUUGCCGAGUCUGUGGCAUGAUGUACCAAAACGAACGCCGCUGCAAUUGCCAAAUCAAAACCUAUCCCGAGCCCGUAGCUUUCGAGGUGUCUUUUGUGCCGGCCGAAAAAGUCCACGAGGAUGUUCGAAUGGAAGUCAAGAGCAUCGAGAACAGAAGAACAGAAGCAAGGGCAAGGCUAAUGUCGAAUCUGAUGAAUGGAUGCUCCUGCGCUGGAUCCCAGCUCACAAUUAAAAGGUGCGAAUGCGAUUGCAGACCCGCGCGUACAGCAAAAUUCAGCGGUGGGAAAGAGACAUUACAGGAAUAUUUAAAAUCAAAUAAUCCUGGUUUUGCCGAUCAUGUUGAAACUCGAAGGCAGUAUGUUUCUGAAAUACAACGUUUGCGACAACUUAGA